GAUGAACGCUGGCGGCGUGCUUAAUGCAUGCAAGUCGAACGAGGACCCUUUGAUUGGUAACUUUCGAAGGACUCCUAGUGGCGAACGGGUGAGUAACACGUGAGCAACCUGCCCCGAAGACCGGGAUAGCCCAUGGAAACGUGGAUUAAUACCGGAUACCCUCGAGGGACCGAAUGGCCCCAUGAGGAAAGGCUCCGGCGCUUCGGGAUGGACUCGCGGCCUAUCAGCUUGUUGGUGAGGUAACGGCUCACCAAGGCUCUGACGGGUAGCUGGUCUGAGAGGACGAUCAGCCACACUGGGACUGAGACACGGCCCAGACUCCUACGGGAGGCAGCAGCAGGGAAUAUUGCACAAUGGGCGCAAGCCUGAUGCAGCGACGCCGCGUGAGGGAUGAAGGCUUUCGAGUUGUAAACCUCUUUCAGUGGGGAAGAAGCGCAAGUGACGGUACCCACACAAGAAGGCCCGGCCAACUACGUGCCAGCAGCCGCGGUAAUACGUAGGGGCCAAGCGUUAUCCGGAUUUAUUGGGCGUAAAGAGCUCGUAGGCGGCUUGGCAAGUCGGUCGUGAAAGUCCGAGGCUCAACCUCGGAAUGCCGGUCGAAACUGCCAUGGC
rnacentral:rRNA from 1 species